rnacentral:rRNA from 1 species
GCGUGUGUGAAGAAGGCCUUCGGGUUGUAAAGCACUUUCAGUGGGGAGGAAAAGCUUGAGGUUAAUACCCUCGGGUCUUGACGUUAUCCACAGAAGAAGCACCGGCUAACUCCGUGCCAGCAGCCGCGGUAAUACGGAGGGUGCAAGCGUUAAUCGGAAUUACUGGGCGUAAAGCGUGCGUAGGUGGUUUAUUAAGUCAGAUGUGAAAGCCCCGGGCUCAACCUGGGAACUGCAUUUGAUACUGGUAAACUAGAGUUUGGUAGAGGGAAGUGGAAUUCCUAGUGUAGCGGUGAAAUGCGU